AGUGAACGCUGGCGGUAGGCCUAACACAUGCAAGUCGAACGGCAGCACAGUAAGAGCUUGCCUUUACUGGUGGCGAGUGGCGGACGGGUGAGGUAUACAUCGGAAUCUACUUUUUCGUGGGUGAUAACGUAGGGAAACUUACGCUAAUACCGCAUACGACCUACGGGUGAAAGCAGGUGAUCUUCGUAUCUUGUGCGAUUGAAUGAGACGAUGUCGGAUUAGCUAGUUUGCGGGGUAAAGGCGCACCAAGGCGACGAUCCGUAGCUGGUCUGAGGGGAUGAUCAGCGACACUGGAGCUGAGCCGCGGUACUGACUCCUACGGGAGGCAGAAGCGGGGAAUGUUGGACACUGGGCGCAAGACUGAUCAAGCCAUACCGCGUGGGUGAAGAAGGGCUUCGGGUUGUAAAACCCUUUUGGUGGGAAAGAAAAGCUGCAGGUGAAACCAACGCUGUUCUGACGGUACCCAAAGAGUAAGCACCGGCUAACUACGUG
rnacentral:rRNA from 1 species